rnacentral:rRNA from 1 species
CACGUAGGCGGUUUGUUAAGUCUGAUGUUAAAGACUGGGGCUCAACCCCGGCAUGGCGUUGGAUACUGGCAGGCUUGACGGUUGGAGAGGCGAGUGGAAUUGCCAGUGUAGCGGUGGAAUGCGUAGAUACUGGUAGGAACACCUAUUGCGAAGGCAGCUCGCUGGACAGUUCGUGACGCUGAGGUGCGAAAGUGUGGGGAGCAAACC